CGCUCUUCACACAGCUGGGAAAGUGGAAUGAGGGGCCCCGGGGAGGGGAUGGGGUGGCCUGUGAUGUCGCAAUCUCAGCGACCUCAUAAAGGCUGCUGGAAACAGGGUUCCGGUGGACUGAGGCGAAGUGCCAAGGCCAGGGCUGGAGGAGGCGUGGGGACCAUGGAGGCUCACUGCCAGGAACCAGGAAAGGGAGUCCAUUAUUGCUGAAAAUCCAUUUUAAGGCAGCAGAAGGCAGAAGACCAAAAGAGCCCCGUCGUCGGCACAGAGAACGUACAGG